rnacentral:sRNA from 1 species
UCGCCGUUGCAAUGGGGCAACGCGCCCAC